rnacentral:rRNA from 1 species
AUUGAACGCUGGCGGCAUGCCUUACACAUGCAAGUCGAACGGCAGCGGACCUUCGGGUGCCGGCGAGUGGCGAACGGGUGAGUAAUAUAUCGGAACGUACCUUUCAGUGGGGGAUAACGUAGCGAAAGUUACGCUAAUACCGCAUAUUCUGUGAGCAGGAAAGCAGGGGAUCGCAAGACCUUGCGCUGAUUGAGCGGCCGAUAUCAGAUUAGCUAGUUGGUGAGGUAAAGGCCUACCAAGGCGACGAUCCGUAGCUGGUCUGAGAGGACGACCAGCCACACUGGAACUGAGACACGGUCCAGACUCCUACGGGAGGCAGCAGUGGGGAAUUUUGGACAAUGGGCGAAAGCCUGAUCCAGCCAUUCCGCGUGAGUGAAGAAGGCCUCGGUU